AGUCGUACGCUUCUUUUUCCCCGGAGCUUGCUCCACCGGAAAAAGAAGAGUGGCGAACGGGUGAGUAACACGUGGGUAACCUGCCCAUCAGAAGGGGAUAACACUUGGAAACAGGUGCUAAUACCGUAUAACAAUCGAAACCGCAUGGUUUUGAUUUGAAAGGCGCUUUCGGGUGUCGCUGAUGGAUGGACCCGCGGUGCAUUAGCUAGUUGGUGAGGUAACGGCUCACCAAGGCCACGAUGCAUAGCCGACCUGAGAGGGUGAUCGGCCACAUUGGGACUGAGACACGGCCCAAACUCCUACGGGAGGCAGCAGUAGGGAAUCUUCGGCAAUGGACGAAAGUCUGACCGAGCAACGCCGCGUGAGUGAAGAAGGUUUUCGGAUCGUAAAACUCUGUUGUUAGAGAAGAACAAGGAUGAGAGUAACUGUUCAUCCCUUGACGGUAUCUAACCAGAAAGCCACGGCUAACUACGUGCCAGCAGCCGCGGUAAUACGUAGGUGGCAAGCGUUGUCCGGAUUUAUUGGGCGUAAAGCGAGCGCAGGCGGUUUCUUAAGUCUGAUGUGAAAGCCCCCGGCUCAACCGGGGAGGGUCAUUGGAAACUGGGAGACUUGAGUGCAGAAGAGGAGAGUGGAAUUCCAUGUGUAGCGGUGAAAUGCGUAGAUAUAUGGAGGAACACCAGUGGCGAAGGCGGCUCUCUGGUCUGUAACUGACGCUGAGGCUCGAAAGCGUGGGGAGCAAACAGGAUUAGAUACCCUGGUAGUCCACGCCGUAAACGAUGAGUGCUAAGUGUUGGAGGGUUUCCGCCCUUCAGUGCUGCAGCUAACGCAUUAAGCACUCCGCCUGGGGAGUACGACCGCAAGGUUGAAACUCAAAGGAAUUGACGGGGGGCCCGCACAAGCGGUGGAGCAUGUGGUUUAAUUCGAAGCAACGCGAAGAACCUUACCAGGUCUUGACAUCCUUUGACCACUCUAGAGAUAGAGCUUCCCCUUCGGGGGCAAAGUGACAGGUGGUGCAUGGUUGUCGUCAGCUCGUGUCGUGAGAUGUUGGGUUAAGUCCCGCAACGAGCGCAACCCUUAUUGUUAGUUGCCAUCAUUUAGUUGGGCACUCUAGCAAGACUGCCGGUGACAAACCGGAGGAAGGUGGGGAUGACGUCAAAUCAUCAUGCCCCUUAUGACCUGGGCUACACACGUGCUACAAUGGGAAGUACAACGAGUCGCGAAGUCGCGAGGCUAAGCUAAUCUCUUAAAGCUUCUCUCAGUUCGGAUUGUAGGCUGCAACUCGCCUACAUGAAGCCGGAAUCGCUAGUAAUCGCGGAUCAGCACGCCGCGGUGAAUACGUUCCCGGGCCUUGUACACACCGCCCGUCACACCACGAGAGUUUGUAACACCCGAAGUCGGUGAGGUAACC
rnacentral:rRNA from 1 species